rnacentral:rRNA from 1 species
AUUGAACGCUGGCGGCAGGCCUAACACAUGCAAGUCGAGCGGAUGAAUGGAGCUUGUUCUCGGAUUCAGCGGCGGACGGUUGAGUAAUGCCUAGGAAUCUGCCUUGUCGUGGGGGAUAACGUCCGGAAACGGGCGCUAAUCCCGCAUCCGUCCUGAUGUAGUAAGUCGGGGAUCUUCGGACCUCACUCUAUCUGAUGAGCCUAGGUCCUAUUAGCUAGUUGGAUGGGUAAAGGCCUACCAAGGCGACGAUCCGUAACUGGUCUGAGAGGAUGACCAGUCACACUGGAACUGAGACACGGUCCAGACUCCUACGGGAGGCAGCAGUAGGGAAUAUUGAACAAUGGGCGAAAGCCUGAUCGAGCCAUGCCGCGUGAGUGAUGAAGGGAUUCGGAUUGUAAAGCACUGUAAGUUGGGAGGAAGGAAAGUAAGUUAAUACGUGACUGUUUUGACGUUACCAACAGAAGAAGCCCCGGCUAACUUCGUG